rnacentral:lncRNA from 1 species
AAAAAAUUCUAAAAAUAAAAUCCUAACUACCAAAAAUAGGAAAAACAAAAAAUAUCAAAAAAGAAAUCACAAAUCUGAAUAAAGCUACUUCUAUCUAAGAGUAUUCAUUCUAUAAACUAAACGAUAACUAUCCCAUGAUUAUAAUGUAUUAACAGAUUCUAAAAAAAAAAUGAUAAUGGCUGCCGGAGGCCCCUGUCCCCAUGGCAACCAAAGCCAAAUUUAUACAUAUAUUUACAUUGAAAAUUCUAAUUUUAUUUUAUCUUACUUAAUUUUAUUAUUAUUCGUAUAUCUAUUUUAUUUUUUUUUUUUAUUUUAUUUU